rnacentral:lncRNA from 1 species
AAGAAGUCAGGCCGGAUUAAGCCAUAGUACGGUAAGAGCUAUGCUGCCUGUGAGCCCCGUCUAAGGACGUAAAAUGAAGUCAGGCCGAAAGCCACGGCUUGAGCAAACCGUGCUGCCUGUAGCUCCAUCGUGGGGAUGUAAAAACCUGGGAGGCUGCAACCCAUGGAAGCUGUACGCAUGGGGUAGCAGACUAGUGGUUAAAGGAGACCCCUCCCGAAACAUAACGCAGCAGCGGGGCCCAACACCAGGGGAAGCUGUACCCUGGUGGUAAGGACUAGAGGUUAGAGGAGACCCCCCGCAUAACAAUAAAC